CAUGUGGUUUAAUUCGACGCAACGCGAAGAACCUUACCAGGGCUUGACAUCCCCUGACCGUCUAUGAAAGUAGGCUUUCUACCUUCGGGUAGACAGGGAGACAGGUGGUGCAUGGUUGUCGUCAGCUCGUGUCGUGAGAUGUUGGGUUAAGUCCCGCAACGAGCGCAACCCUUACGGUUAGUUGCCAGCGGGUUAUGCCGGGCACUCUAGCUGAACUGCCGUUGACAAAACGGAGGAAGGUGGGGAUGACGUCAAAUCAUCAUGCCCUUUAUGUCCUGGGCUACACACGUGCUACAAUGGCCUGUACAGAGGGAAGCGAAAGGGUGACCUGGAGCGAAUCCCAAAAAGCAGGUCUCAGUUCGGAUUGCAGGCUGCAACCCGCCUGCAUGAAGUCGGAAUCGCUAGUAAUCGUGGAUCAGAAUGUCACGGUGAAUACGUUCCCGGGUCUU
rnacentral:rRNA from 1 species